UACGAAGGGGGCUAGCGUUGCUCGGAAUCACUGGGCGUAAAGGGUGCGUAGGCGGGUCUUUAAGUCAGGGGUGAAAAUCCUGGGAGCUCCAACGUCCGAACUGUCCUUUGAUACUGGAAGUAUCUUGAGUUCGGGAGAGGUGAUGGAACUGCGAGUGUAGAGGUGAAAUUCGUAGAUAUUCGCAAGAACACCAGUGGCGAAGGCGGCUCACUGGCCCGGAACUGACGCUGAGGUGCGAAACGAGGGGCAACAGGG
rnacentral:rRNA from 1 species